rnacentral:tRNA from 1 species
GGGACUGUAGCUCAGCCGGUAGAGCACGCGACUGAAAAUCGCGGUGUCGGCGGUUCGAUUCCGCCCGGUCCCA